ACGGCGAGUGAAGCGGCAUCAGCUUAAUCGACAAUCCUGCGCCCUUUGGGCGGUGGAAUUGUAGUCUUGUUGGGUGAACGGCGCCGUUGGACGGCCAAUUCGAUGGAAAUCCAGGUCCCAGAGGGUGAUAGCCCCGUGUGACUGUCCAGUCGGCGCCACAGUUUGCUCAAUCUUCGAGUAGCGUUCCUUGGGAAUGGAGCGUGAAGAGGGUGGUGAUAUCCAUCUAAAGCUAAAUAUUGGCGAGAGACCGAUAGCGAACAAGUACCGUGAGGGAAAGAUGAAAAGCACUUUGGAGAGAGAGUUAAAUAGCAUGUGAAAUCGUUGGAAGCAAGCGAAUCAGUGUGCUUGGACGCGGGUCCGGCGCUUGGGAACUCGCCCGGGCGUGAGUGCUUUUUGUGUUCCGGCCUGGCUGCCAGUUCCCGUGCCCGGACCGAGGUUUUGGCGUUCUUACGCGUUCUGAUCCGACCCGUCUUGAAACACGGACCAAGGAGUCUAAUAUGUGUGCGAGUACUCGGGUGCCAAACCCCUGUGCGCAGGUAACCCGAAUCGCGUUAGCCCUCGCGGGCCCAUCGCGGGUAGUGAAACGUUUGUUUCCCUCACAAG
rnacentral:rRNA from 1 species